rnacentral:lncRNA from 1 species
ACCCCUAGCCCAAGACCGUGGAGCCUUGCCAGCCUUAUCUCAGGGCCAGAUCUCUCUCCCUUCUUCCCCUGACGUGGUGGGAGCCGAGGACCUGCCCUUUUCCCAGAGCAGUUCUCCGAGCCCUUCCCUUCCGCGCACUACACCGCUAAAUCCCUGGGAUUGGAAGAACAUGCAGUUCGCUAGGUGGAAACCCCUGAGAAAGGCGAGGGAAGGUCUUCCACCCUGGCCAGAUAGCUGGGGUCCAUAGGUACUCAGCGACCGCAGAACCUUCUUCCCUCGCCCCGCAUCGCUGCGGAGCAUACGGAUCUUCCCACACCUAUAAAUCCCGUCCCCUAAGCGCAUUUAACAGCGCUUCUGCAGCCAGCGGGCCGAGGGAAGGAUGCGUUUCCCCUGGACCUACAAGGAGAUAACCCACUCUGCGCGCGCACAAACCGGGGUAAGCUACCCGGGCCUGGAGCGCGUGCCCGCGCAGCAGCUGACAUCCCCCUUUUACAGUUACUCAGCCGUUUACUAAACCACCUCAUGUGCCCUCUUACACCUUCCCCAUCCCGGGGGAAUUCUACCGGGACAAGAGGCCACUGCUCUCUGAGGGCACUUGGCAUUCUUGGGAGGAGGGAGAGAGUACAACGUGAGAAGAAUCGGUGAGGCUGUCUGCAGCGCUAUGCGGGGAAUUCAAUUGCCUUAGAUCUGUGUUCUGGGAGGGACCUAGGAGCUAGGACCUAAACCUGAGUGACAAGGACAAAGGUAAGCCUGGAGGCCGGACAGGUGAAAGGAACAGCAAGUGGAAUGGCCUUAGGGUUGGCUUGUUAGUGGCCGGUUCGAAGGGGAGGAGGGGCCGGCGAGAUGGCUCCGCAGGUAAAGGAGUGUGAAGCCCAGCCUGACAACCUAAAUUAAUUCCCAGGACACAGUGAUGGAAGGAGAGACCUUACUCCCUCACGUUGUCCUCUGACCUCCAGAGUGGGCAGUAGCUUACAUAAACACUCACACAGAAAGAAUGAAAUGUAAUAAUAU